GCUUGUCUCAAAGAUUAAGCCAUGCAUGUCUAAGUAUAAGCACCCUUAUACUGCGAAACUGCGUACAGCUCAUUAUAUCAGCAAUUAUUUAUUUGAAGGUCACCUAUUACAUGGAUAACCGUGGUAAUUCUAGAGCUAAUACAUGCUGUAAGCCCGACUUUUCGGAAGGGCCGUAUUUAUUAGAUAACAGACCAAUGCCCCCCCGGGCUUUGUGGUGACUCAUAGUAACUAAUCGGAUCGCAUGGGCCUGUCCCGCGACAAACCAUUCAAGUUUCUGCCCCAUCAGCUUUCGAUGGUAGUGUAUUGGACUACCAUGGCUUUUACGGGUAACGGAGGAUUAGGGUUCGAUUCCGGAGAGGGAGCCUGAGAAACGGCUACCACAUCUAAGGAAGGCAGCAGG
rnacentral:rRNA from 1 species